rnacentral:rRNA from 1 species
GUGUCAGCAGCCGCGGUAAGACAGAGGUCUCGAGCGUUAGGCGGAAUCACUGGGCUUAAAGCGUGUGUAGGUGGAUGUCUAAGUACCUUGUGAAAUCCCACGGCUCAACCGUGGAACUGCUCGGUAUACUGGAUGUCUUGAGCUAGCUAGGGGCAACCGGAACAAAUGGUGGAGCGGUGAAAUGCGUAGAUAUCAUUUGGAACGCCAAUGGUGAAAACAGGUUGCUGGGGCUAUGCUGACACUGAGACACGAAAGCCAGGGGAGCAAACGGGAUUAGAUACCCGCGUAGUCC